CAUAUGUAUAUAUCCGACCUUUCCUUCAUAAUGGUUUUUUAAGUCAAAAAUUAUGCAGUAACUGUUAUUUUAUAUUCAAAUAAUCUGCCAGGCUGAGCAAAAUAUUGUCCAAAGAACACACCAUUUCUGCUGAAGAGUCACUGGAGGUUCUGAUGAACACGCACUUCCCUGGUAGUCAGAAAUCUGCGGGCUGUUUAACCAGAACAAGCAGCAAAUGCAGUAAGCAAGAAGAAAGUCACAUACGGAAUUAUCAGUAUGGGAUUAUUCCCAUAAAGCUGCAGAAGCUAGACGAUCCAAUGCCAAACGAACAAAUAGGGACUGCUCAAGGAGGUGUCCUUUCCACGCUUUUAUGGGUGGAGGCGCUGAAUAAAAUACUAAUUCAAGGUGUCUUUUUUAGACAUGUGGUCAAGAAGAAAUAAAAUGCAUGUAAUUUAAUGUUACGGCCAAAAGCUUAGCUUCAUUAUAAAGAUAAAGGUUUGCCAUUGUGUUUUAAGAAUAAUUUCAGACAAGUGACCAUCGUGGCUGGCUCCAAUAAAUUCCAGCUGAGAGACCUAAUUUUCGACCACUUUUUGCACCAAUUCUUACAUAUGGACCACUCGUUUGAUGGCUAGCAAUAAAAAAAAAUAUAAUAUCAGAAAACUAAAUGGAAUAUCAAGGGCAACUUGUAGCUUGAGCAACGAGGCUAUUAAGUCAUUUCCGACUGAUUCGCUUAAUAUGUUCCUGCAUCAACUGCUCAUAGACUUAAGACGCAUACGGAAAGUAACAGCAUAUGCUUCUAUAAUAAUUAAGAAGUUAGAUAGUUAACAUAACGAUAUUCUGAACCAGCUCAAAACAAUUUUAAAUAAAGCGGACUAUAUUCUCCCAAAAUUGGAUUUCAAUAGCUACUUCCAGGUGACAAUACCCUCUAUACGUGAAUGCCGAAGAUAUUUAGUAGAGGAGGAGGAUACUAUUUCAAUCUAUACCGACAUAUCCAAAACGGACUGCGGAGUAGGAAGAUGGGUAUACUCCGAUUAUCUUGAUAUCUCUCUCGCUAUUCGUCUGCCAAACUCAGCUAGCUUCUUUAAGCGGAAAUACUAUGCAUAGAGAAGGCCUGUGGAGUUCUACUGAAUAACUACAGAUAGCCAAGCGGUAUUGUCAAGGAUUAAUUCCAGCGUAGUCAACAAGUAUAGGCUUUAAGCUCACUGCCAGCCCAACUCCACUUGUCCAUAAUUGGGGUUCCCGAUCACAGGAAUAUUUUCGGCAACAAAAAACCAGGAACGAUCUAAAGGGGCAUACGGAGAUGAUGAAUGCAAUGAUGAAACGAGAUAGCAAAAUGAUCAGAAUGACCCAUCUAGCGCUAAUUCAGCGCGAAGGACUACACUCCUACCUACCUAGCUAUUAAUGUAUCCGAAUCAAAGCAACCUUUAUAUUAUUAACUAAAUUAGCGUUACAGCUAUGAAAUUUUUUCAAAGCUUUUUAGUGGACUGGACAUUUUUGGUUGAAAUGGAUUCCACAAACUUUGUUUUGCUAGUAAACAUUUGUUAUGUAAUAUUAGACACAAAAUGUAUCUAUAAUAACCGUAUAUACUAAUAUUUCCAAAGGAUUGUCUAUGCUGAAAUCCAAUAAAAAAAUUCAAGGAUCCAUCCAUA